UCGCGCUCCUCGGAGUUGCGCUUUCAUCAUCUUCCGUCUCUCUCCCGAAGUUCCUAGAACAUCGGCUGGAUUCUUACUCUUCAUAGCCUAAUAGAUAUGCGCUCUCCCUCUCUACCUUUUUGACGUUCGACUUUCUACAACAACUUUUCUCGACACAUUUGGCUGGAUGGCUAGCCUCUCAGAGUGCUCUCUCUGAAGGUGCUCUCUGGAGAUUCUCUCGCCAUCAGCAACAAUAAUGGACUGCGGCAGCUGUAGUACGUUCUCGCUCGUUUCUACCAGGAGUGGUUUCACCUGCGUGCAGUUAUAUUUUGAAUGCUAAUAUUGACACCCACCUAAUAUUUGGAGCGACGAUCACCAGCCUAUUCGUAUCCGUACUACUACUUUACUGAAGGUGUUUGCAAAUAAUUUUAGUAUUAUUCGGGCCAUGAUGCUGCAACAAUACAAAUUUCAAUAUUUAUUAUCAAAACGUCGGUGGUAUGCGUACGAAAGCUCAAUCCAUUUUCCAGGCAACGUCCCAUGGUGAUCACGACGUCAUCAUUUUUGUUGAAACAUGGCUCAACAUGGAUUUUUUUGAUAAUGAAUUCUUCGAUACAAAUCUUUAUCAUGUGUUCCGUAAAGAUCGAGAUUCCUUUAAAACACGAUGCUCCAGAGGUAACGGCGUUUUAUUUGCGGCGCGGCGUGAUCUGCGUUGCACUGCUAUUCGUCUCCAGAACGAGGAUUCUCUGCUCGAUCAAUUUUCUGUAUCUCUCGCUGGUCCUACGGAGACAAUUUACCUGACAGUAUCAUACACACCCCCAAGCAGCAGUUUUGAUUUAUAUAAAGCGCAUGUGGACAACAUUGCCCACCUAUACCAGGAGCUGGAAGAUGGCCAGUAUAUAUGUGUUUUGGGCGACUUCAACCUAUCUUCGCUCGUGUGGGCUCAUGAUGUUGAGUCUUCAGCAAUGCUUCCCAGUAAUUUGCAUUUUCCCCACGAAAUCUUAGUCAUUGAUGAGCUUCUUAUGCAGAUACGCUAAAACUAGAGUUCAAAGUUCUUAUAGAAAUAAAUAAAUUCCAGAAAUAAAUUCCAUAAGCGCUACAUAGAAUGCGGUGAUGCUGCUGACUUUGGUCGUUACAAGCAACAUAAGCGUGAGUUUGAGUUCCUUAAUAAAUUCUUAUACAGCCAAUAUAUUGCUGAUAUAGAGCGUAAAUUAAUAACCAAUAAUAAAUCAUUCUGGCACUUUGUCAAUUACUUUCCUUCCUUACUUUCCUUCCCAUAUGUCAUUUAAAAGUCUUUCAGCUUGCUCGGAUAUUUGAGUCGCUAAUCAAUUUUCUAAGUACUUUGCAUCUAACUUUGAACCGCGCUCACUGUGGAAUGACGAUGAUUCACUCAGUGCCAUUGCCACGAUGCUAAAUAUUGGGUGCUUAGAUGUCACUGAUUCUUAUUGCUGUAUGGCGCCUGAGAGUUUUAAGGAUUCAGGAAAAUUAAACUGCGAUGGCCUUUCUCUUUGUAGCUAAGCAGAUAACUUUUCUUGCUGGCAGGAUCAUCAGUCCUAAUCAACAUGGUUCUAUGCCUGGUCGGUCAACUAUCACUAACUUACUAACUUACUAACUAACUGUUUGCGGACGAUCUUAAAAUAUUUAGGUCUGUGAAUUUAAUCUCCGAUAGUGAACUUCUUCAAAAUGACCUAGUAAGAGUGGGAAAUUGGUGUUCUCGUAAUAAGUUGCAUCUGAAUUUGUCAAAAUGUUUCUUUGUUAGGUACAGCAAAAUAUUAAUUAAUGUCCUUUGCUCGUAUUCCAUUAGUUCCAAUAUUCUUUCCUUAAGAAAUCUAGGACUUAUUUUGAUACCAAAUUUACGUUCAUUGAUCACAUAAAUUACAUAAUUUCAAAGGCAUACGCAAUGUAUGGGUUUGUAAAACGAAACUUCACGCAAUUUAAAGAUCCGUACUCUUAACUAAGCCUAUUUUCUUCGUUCAUUAGGUCCAGAUUGGAAUAUGCCUCGUUUGUCUGGAGUCCCACUGGUACUACACACAUCAAUCGUAUUGAGCGUGUUCAAAAAAAAAAUCCUACCUUUUGCCCUUCUUUCUCUAAACUUUAAUGACCCGUUCUCCUAUUACUCAGGAAAAUGUCGUCUUAUGCACCUCUCUUCCCUACAAGAUCGUAGGACAACUAGCGCACUAGUUUUAUUUGUGACCUGCUGUCCUCCAAAAUAGACUGCCCUGCAUUGCAGAGCAGCAUAAGCUUUUCCGUGCCUGGAAGCACAUUUUGGAAAAUAAAAAGAGUGAUACCGUAACCUGGAUGGAGAAAGCAGGUGCCUGGAAACGUUUUGCUGAGAAAUUCGCUGCCCAAUCUGGAAUAGAACGGACGUGAAAAAAUUUGAGGGACAAAUAUGACCACCUAAAAAAAAGAACCCGAAGUGAAUUUGCUGCCGAGAAACUUGAAAGACACCGCACUGGUGGAGGAGUCGCACCCUCCACUUCUGUUUCCCCAAUCUCCGAAAGGAUAGGCAGCAUUAUCCCAACUUCCGCCACUGGUCCGCAAUAUAUAUUGUUCGAUCGACGACAAGGAUAAAGAACCACCUAGUUUGAACGCCGCUAACAAUAACUGCAGCUUAUACGAUACCAGUGUACUACAGGAAGAUCCCGUGCUACUAAAGGAUAUGCCGCGUAAGGAAGUGGGGUUUCAAGGAUAGAAUCAAACAAAGCUAAAGAAUAAGAAGUCGCAGGAACUGUGUGACUCUCGAAAGAGAGGAGCAGAAGAAGACAGUUUUACUUAAGCUUCAGCAAGAAUACUAUAGGACUGAAAACGAGCGACCUGCAGAGAAACACUCCAGUGUGUGAAAAGUGGAAAAGCAACUGGCUGACCUCCGAAACAUAAACUUAAAAAUCGAUCUGCUUGAAAUGGAGACAGAACAGAAAAAAGUCAGGAAGAUAUUCAAGUUUGGUGAUUAAUAUUUUAUCUUUAUAUUUUACUAAUGCUGAUACUUAGUGAUACUGAAAUCCGAAA